UACGAAGGGGACAAGCGUUGUUCGGAAUCAUUGGGCGUAAAGCGCACGUAGGCGGGUUUGUAAGUCGAUUGUGAAAACCCUGGGCUUAACCUGGGACCUGCAGUCGAAACUACAAGUCUUGAAUGCUCGAGAGGAUGGUGGAAUUCCAGGAGUAGAAGUGAAAUUCGUAGAUAUCUGGAGGAACACCGGAGGCGAAAGCGGCCAUCUGGCGAGACAUUGACGCUAAGGUGCGAAAGCGUGGGGAUCAAACAGG
rnacentral:rRNA from 1 species